rnacentral:rRNA from 1 species
UACGUAGGGGGCAAGCGUUGUCCGGAUUUAUUGGGCGUAAAGAGCGUGUAGGCGGCUUGGUAGGUCCGCUGUGAAAACUCGAGGCUCAACCUCGAGAUGUCGGUGGAAACCACCUGGCUAGAGUCCGGAAGAGGAGAGUGGAAUUCCUGGUGUAGCGGUGAAAUGCGCAGAUAUCAGGAAGAACACCCGUGGCGAAGGCGGCUCUCUGGGACGGGACUGACGCUGAGACGCGAAAGCGUGGGGAGCGAACAGG